UUUCCGUAGGUGAACCUGCGGAAGGAUCAUUAUUGUAUAACCGAUGUUCGAGGGCUGUCGCUGACCCGGAAGGUCGUUCAAGCCCGAGUGCACCCACACACAUCCGUCUGACCCCUAUGUGCACCACCGCCCGAGUCCCCCUUUGCCUUGUUCGGACGGGGGCUUACUGUUACACACAAACUUUGAAUACAGCGUAGUAAGUAUUUUUAGAUUUUGCGAUCACGCUAUCACUACAACUUUCAACAACGGAUCUCUUGACACCCGACGCGUUGACGAACG
rnacentral:misc_RNA from 1 species